CACGUAGGGCGCGAGCGUUGUCCGGAAUUAUUGGGCGUAAAGAGCUCGUAGGCGGCCUGUUGCGUCCGCUGUGAAAGCCCGGGGCUUAACCCCGGGUCUGCAGUGGAUACGGGCAGGCUAGAGGUAGGUAGGGGAGAAUGGAAUUCCCGGUGUAGCGGUGAAAUGCGCAGAUAUUGGGAGGAACACCAGUGGCGCAAGCGGCUAUCUGGACUGACAUUGACGCUGAGGCACGAAAGCGUGGGGAUCAAACAGG
rnacentral:rRNA from 1 species